AUGGAAUUCAAAAAUGAAGUAGUCCUAAUUGCUAAACUACAGCACAAGAACCUAGUCAGACUUCAUGGGUGUUGCAUUCAGGAAGAUGAGAAGUUAUUGAUCUACGAAUACUUACCUAACAAAAGUUUGGACACCUUUCUUUUUGAUGUUGCACGAAAACACAUGCUUGAUUGGUCGACGCGGUUCAAAAUAAUUAAAGGAAUAGCGAGAGGUCUUCUUUAUCUCCAUCAAGAUUCAAGAUUAGCAAUAAUUCACAGAGAUCUCAAAGCAAGCAACAUCUUGUUGGACGCAGAAAUGACUCCCAAAAUUUCAGAUUUUGGUAUGGCACGAGUAUUUGGUGCAAACCAGAAUCAUGCAAACACUACUAGGGUUGUCGGGACAUAUGGUUACAUGUCACCUGAAUAUGCGAUGGGAGGUGCAUUUUCUGUUAAAACAGACACAUACAGCUUUGGUGUUCUUCUCUUGAAGAUUGUUAGUGGCCUGAAGAUCAGCUCACCUCAGCUCAAAACAAAUUUUUGCAGCCUUAUAACUUAUGCGUGGAGACUAUGGGAAGUUGGAGAAGCAACUGAACUAGUGGACUCGAUUUUUGGGUGUGCUUGCUGGCCUAGUCUCCUUCUACGGUGUGUUCAUGUCGGGCUCUUGUGUGUUCAAGACCAUCCCAACGAUAGGCCGCUAAUGUCAUCAGUUAUGCUUAUGCUGGAGAAUGAAAACACACUACUUCCAACUCCAAAGCAACCUGCAUAUUUUGCUCUAAGUAAUUGUGAAGGUCGAGAAGCAACAGAUAACAUAGAGAACUCCACAAAUGCAAUUAGCAUCACAACCUUGGAGGGUCGUUAA
rnacentral:rRNA from 1 species